UACGUAGGGGGCAAGCGUUGUUCGGAAUGACUGGGCGUAAAGGGUGUGUAGGUGGUUUGAUAAGUUAGAUGUGUAAUACCCAGGGCUUAACUCGGGUGCUGCAUCUAAAACUGUUAGACUUGAGUACUGGAGAGGAUAGUGGAAUUCCUAGUGUAGCGGUGAAAUGCAUAGAUAUCACGCAGAACCCCGAUUGCGAAGGCAGCCUUCCGGCGCCCUACUGACGCUGAGGCACGAAAGUGCGGGGAUCGAACAGG
rnacentral:rRNA from 1 species